rnacentral:rRNA from 1 species
GACGGAGGGUGCUAGCGUUGUUCGGAAUUAUUGGGCGUAAAGCGCACGUAGGCGGCCCAGCAAGCGGGGAGUGAAAGCCCUCGGCUCAACCGAGGAAGUGCUUUCCGAACUACUGGGCUUGGAUACUGAAGAGGACCGCGGAAUUCCCGGUGUAGAGGUGAAAUUCGUAGAUAUCGGGAGGAACACCAGUGGCGAAGGCGGCGGUCUGGGCAGAUAUCGACGCUGAGGUGCGAAAGCGUGGGGAGCAAACAGG